UAAAGGACAGGCCAGGAGAAAGAAGGUAAACCUAACAGUAAACUGGAACAAUAGAAUGAAGGAUGCUGGGAACAGUUUUUACCCAAUAGUGCAGUAGAAUGCUUGACCAAAUGGAAUAUACUGGCUCCUCCCAGGAGUCUUGUGAGUAGGCACAGAAGAAUGCAAUUUGUAGGGAACAGAGAGAACCAGUGUGGAUAGUUUUCUAGGAUCUUUUUGAGGCUUAAUUUCUCUAUGCGACCAGAUGAUGGGGAAAUAGUUCCUUUGCUAACCUUUGUCAAAUAACCACCAUGGAGAUUACAAUCAAUGAAACUUCUCUUAUGAUUUAUCAUCUGCUGCUUAUUUAAAGUAUGAAGUAGGAAAGGGAAUGCAAGGAUUCAUCAUUGCCUGCCUCUAUUCCAUCUGCUAUUUUUGCCCAUAGGAAUUUUUGUAAGCAGACACAGAGCAGCCUCCAGUACUACAUGAUGCACAGCUGAGCCAGGACAGGGAAGGACAAAUGUGACCCUCACACUAUGCAGUCAAGACUGAGACUCUGACAAGCUACCUGGGAGGAUGGAGUGUAACAAUUGUACAGAAGUAGUCUUAGAGGAGCAUGACAGUUAUAACGAAUCCAGUGCAGUCUUCUUCCAGGGCUAGUAUCACAGUGAAGCUGGAGAGCACAAAGUAGUGAAAUUCCUCUUGAGGACUUCCCUGACCCUGGCUUAUUGGACUGUCCUUAUUUACAAUCCAAAUGUGCAAAGAGAAAAAGAAAGGAUAAACUGAAUGCUGAAGGUUAUUGCAGGUGAGAUUCUGUUGAAAAUGUAAAGGAAAAUGAAAGCAACCAGGACGCUGAAGGAUUCCAGUUUUCAUUAUCACACUUGGACUAUUGUACAUGUCUGCACCAAAAGUAAUGCCUCCUAUUUUUUCUGUGAAAAUGACAAAGACAUGUAGAGCACAAUACUGUUUGAUAGAGCAUAUUCACAGCUACAAGACUAAUUUUCAGCACACCAUUGCUAGGUAUGCACUUUUGUAUGGGAAAUUGGUAAUCACAGCCUGAAACUCUGAUUAAUCAGCUGAGG